GCAGCGAUAGCUCAGUUGGUAGAGCGCCUGGUUGAAGGCCAGGGCGUCGCCGGUUCAACUCCGGCUCGCUGCA
rnacentral:tRNA from 1 species